UCCUUUCCCCCAACAGAUAAAGCACUGUCUCCCCAUUGAACAAGUCGCUUGGAAACCUUAUCUUGAAGCUCUGAAAUUUCCCUUUAUUCAUCCUACCCUCCUGUGUUGACAAACCGAGGUGUUGACAAUUAAACCUUAUCUUGAACUAUGGCUGUGUGCAUCGAUCGAUGCAGAGGCCGGGGAAGUCCUUCUUUUCGGAAAAAAAGAGGUGUUGACAAACCGAGGUAUUUAGCUUCAAACGUCACCUGCUCAACCUGAAGGAUGUGCCGAAUAUCAUCCUGGAUAUGAUGUGGCUCUUUGAUUUUCCACAUCGCUCAGAUGCAGGCUACCUCCUCGGCCGCCCCAUCUGCUACACGGCCGGUUCCCUCGCCAAGUUGCUCCUCCUCCGUUGCCCUCGCCAG
rnacentral:lncRNA from 1 species